AAUGAACGCUAGCUACAGGCUUAACACAUGCAAGUCGAGGGGAAACGACAUCGAAAGCUUGCUUUUGAUGGGCGUCGACCGGCGCACGGGUGAGUAACGCGUAUCCAACCUGCCCAUCACUUGGGAAUAACCUUGCGAAAGUAAGACUAAUGCCCAAUGAUAUCCCACGAAGGCAUCCGAAUGGGAUUAAAGAUUUAUCGGUGAUGGAUGGGGAUGCGUCUGAUCAGCUUGUUGGCGGGGUAACGGCCCACCAAGGCGACGAUCAGUAGGGGUUCUGAGAGUGAGGUCCCACACAUUGGAACUGAGACACGGUCCAAACUCCUACGGGAGUCAGCAGUGAGGAAUAUUGGUCAAUGGGCGAGAGCCUGAACCAGCCAAGUAGCGUGCAGGAUGACGGCCCUAUGGGUUGUAAACUGCUUUUAUAAGGGAAUAAAGUGAGUCUCGUGAGACUUUUUGCAUGUACCUUAUGAAUAAGGACCGGCUAAUUCCGUGCCAGCCGCCGCGGUAA
rnacentral:rRNA from 1 species